rnacentral:rRNA from 1 species
GUGGGGAAUCUUAGACAAUGGGCGCAAGCCUGAUCUAGCCAUGCCGCGUGAGUGAUGAAGGCCCUAGGGUUGUAAAGCUCUUUCAGCUGGGAAGAUAAUGACGGUACCAGCAGAAGAAGCCCCGGCUAACUCCGUGCCAGCAGCCGCGGUAAUACGGAGGGGGCUAGCGUUGUUCGGAAUUACUGGGCGUAAAGCGCGCGUAGGCGGACUGAAAAGUUGGGGGUGAAAUCCCGGGGCUCAACCUUGGAACUGCCUUCAAAACUCCUGGUCUGGAGUUCGAGAGAGGUGAGUGGAAUUCCGAGUGUAGAGGUGAAAUUCGUAGAUAUUCGGAGGAACACCAGUGGCGAAGGCGGCUCACUGGCUCGAUACUGACGCUGAGGUGCGAAAGCGUGGGGAGCAAACAGGAUUAGAAACCCCGGUAGUCC